GCCCUAGUGGCGAAAGGCAUCGCACCUUUCGAGAAUUACAAAUCCAGAGGGAGGCACUGGUUCGAGUCCGGGCUAGGUCG